rnacentral:rRNA from 1 species
GAUGAACGCUAGCUACAGGCUUAACACAUGCAAGUCGAGGGGAAACGACAUCGAAAGCUUGCUUUUGGUGGGCGUCGACCGGCGCACGGGUGAGUAACGCGUAUCCAACCUGCCCACCACUUGGGGAUAACCUUGCGAAAGUAAGACUAAUACCCAAUGAUAUCCCACGAAGGCAUCCGAAUGGGAUUAAAGAUUUAUCGGUGAUGGAUGGGGAUGCGUCUGAUUAGCUUGUUGGCGGGGUAACGGCCCACCAAGGCUACGAUCAGUAGGGGUUCUGAGAGGAAGGUCCCCCCACAUUGGAACUGAGACACGGUCCAAACUCCUACGGGAGGCAGCAGUGAGGAAUAUUGGUCAAUGGGCGAGAGCCUGAACCAGCCAAGUAGCGUGCAGGAUGACGGCCCUAUGGGUUGUAAACUGCUUUUAUGCGGGGAUAAAGUGGGCCACGCGUGGCCUUUUGCAGGUACCGCAUGAAUAAGGACCGGCUAAUUCCGUG